rnacentral:ncRNA from 1 species
GCGAUGAAGCGGGAGGUUGCGGCCUGUGUGGCCGGUUUUUCCGCAGAGUAUGUCCGAUUUCAAACCGGGCGA